UGAAUGAGCUUGAGCUGUACUGUCAAGGUGAGAAGACAUUAAAUAACUGCUGAGGUUUGGGGUUGGAAUUUUUUUUGUGUGAUUUUUUUUUUUCUCAUGUAACCAAAUACCAAUAAUCUCCUUUCUGCAUAGACUUACCACAUGUAGCAGUCUAAAGGGGAUCUGUGGAGUUCGUCUUGAGAAAAUACCACUGUUUUGGAACUAUUCCAGCCAGAUGCUGAGCAUUUUGCUGUUGACCUCAGGUGCUGAAUUAACAUGAUGCAACCCAGAGAUGCAAAGGGAUUUCUUUCAUUAACAGUGCUGUGAUGCUAGUGAGAACAGAAGAUGUGUUUCCUAGACAACCACCAUCACUCUGGCCUCCAGCAAUGAAUGCUAUGUGCCAUCCAGCUGAAUCAGUGCCUCUUCUGGACUAAGAUGUGUGAGCCAAGUUGACUUCAGAUAUCCUUUCUUCAUUACUUCCUUACAGAUUUCAGUUAAAC
rnacentral:lncRNA from 1 species